AUUGAACGCUGGCGGCAGGCUUAACACAUGCAAGUCGAGCGGUAACAGAGAGAAGCUUGCUUCUCUGCUGACGAGCGGCGGACGGGUGAGUAAUGCCUAGGAAUCUGCCUAGUAGUGGGGGAUAACUUGCCGAAAGGUAAGCUAAUACCGCAUACGUCCUACGGGAGCAAGGAGGGGACCUUCGGGCCUUUCGCUAUUAGAUGAGCCUAGGUCGGAUUAGUGAGUUGGUGAGGUAAUGGCUCACCAAGACCGCGAUCUGUAACUGGUCUGAGAGGAUGAUCAGUCACACUGGAACUGAGACACGGUCCAGACUCCUACGGGAGGCAGCAGUGGGGAAUAUUGGACAAUGGGGGGAACCCUGAUCCAGCCAUGCCGCGUGUGUGAAGAAGGUCUUAGGAUUGUAAAGCACUUUAAGUUGGGAGGAAGAGCAGUUAACUAAUAUUUGACUGUUUUGACGUUACCGACAGAAUAAGCACCGGCUAACUUCGUGCCAGCAGCCGCCGUAA
rnacentral:rRNA from 1 species